CGGGUGAGUAAUGCAUCGGAACAUGUCCAUGUCGUGGGGGAUAGCCCGGCGAAAGCCGGAUUAAUACCGCAUACGCCCGAGAGGGGAAAGUGGGGGACCGCAAGGCCUCACGCGAUUGGGUUGGCCGAUGUCCGAUUAGCUAGUUGGUGGGGUAAAGGCCUACCAAGGCGACGAUCUGUAGCUGGUCUGAGAGGACGAUCAGCCGCACUGGGACUGAGACACGGCCCAG
rnacentral:rRNA from 1 species